rnacentral:tRNA from 1 species
GCGCCCGUAGCUCAGUGGAUAGAGCGGUGGACUUCGAAUCCAAAGGUCGGGGGUUCAAAUC